rnacentral:rRNA from 1 species
CCGGGGUUUCUUUACCAGGUACUGUCAUUAUCAUCCCUGGCGAAAGAGCUUUACGACCCUAGGGCCUUCAUCACUCACGCGGCAUGGCUAGAUCAGGCUUGCGCCCAUUGUCCAAUAUUCCCCA